UGGAUCUUCAGUCUGUUGAGAGACUUUUGGGGGGGGGAUCAGUUUUCUUCUCUUUUCCUACAUAUGGAGAUCUAGUUGUGUAAAGAAGUGAAGAAACAUUGUUUUUUAUUUGGAUUCUGCCUGUUUAAUGAGGUUUCACUGAAAUAUGAACAAAUGAAAGAAGACUCGUGCUGUAAGUAAUGAAAUUGAAUGAAAUCUGCUUGACAUGCUACUGAAGAUGGAGUUUGUUAAAGAGGAGAGUGAAGACAUCAGUAUUUCUGAGCAAUUCAGACUGAAGAAUGAAGAUAUUGAAGAACAAAAAGGGGAACCUUGUAAGACUGUCCUCUCUGCCUUUCAUUGUUCUAUCUUGCCCUGAAACCAUUAGCAGCCACAGUAAGAAAAGAGGAUGAAUUUCCUGGCAUUGAAGCAGGAGGAUGCCUAAUAUUGUGUAGAUCCCUCUUGUGCCGCCAAAAAAGCGCCAACCUGCAUUUCAGAAUAGCAUUCUGAGAGGGGCCUGGGUAGCCCAGCAAGUAAAGACGCUGACUACCAUACCUGGAGUAGCAAGUUCGAAUCAAGGGCAUGCUGAGUGACUCCAGUCAGAAUUCUUAAGCAACCAAUUGGCCCGGUUGCUAGGGUGGGUAGAGUCAUGUUGGGUUAACCUCCUCGUGAUCGCUAUAAUGUGGUUUUCGCUAUUGGUGGGGCAUGUGGUGAGUUGUGCGUGGACGCCGUUGAGAAUAGCUUGAAGCCUCCACAUGCACUAGGUCUUCCUGUUAACGCUCAAGAAGCCACGUUGGGGUAGUAUUCUGAGAUGAGAGUCUUCUCACCACCAAUGUACAGAGGGGUUGUCUGAGUUACUGUAAACUUGGGCAUUUCCAUCCACAGAAAUGCUGCUCACUGGAUGUUUUUUGCAGUUACAGAAAUACUCAAACCAGCCCAUCUGGUACCAACAAAAACAGGCCACUGUCCAAAUCACUGAGAUCACAUUUCAUCCUCAUUCUGAUGGUUGAUGUGAACAUUAACUGAAGCUCCUUACCCAUAUCUGCAUGAUUUUAUGCACUGCACUGCUGCCACACGAUUGGCUGAUUAUAUAAUCGCAUUGAUGAUCAUUGGUGUCAGACAGGCUGGUUUGAGUAUUUCUGUUAGUGCUGAUCUUCUGGGACUUUCACACACCACAUUCUCUAGAAUUUACUCCGAAUGGGGCCAAAUACAAAAAAACAUCCUGUGAGCUUCAGUUCUGUGGACGGAUAUUCCUUGUUGAUGAGAGAGGUCACCAAAGAAUGGCAAGACUGGUUCAAACUGACAAAGUCUACGGUAACUCCGAAAACUGGCCUGAACAAUUGUGGUGAGAAGAAUAGCAUCUAAGAAUGCUACCAAUACCAAAACACGUUGGCCACAUUUAUUGGCACCCCUUGAAAUUCGUAUGAGUAAAAUAUAUCUUAAGUAUGCUCCCAUUCAUAUUUUGCAGUUUUUGGUGCACCUGGAUGACUAGGAACAUGAAAUUGUUCAGCCAUGACUUCCUGUUUCACAGGAGUAUAAAUAUGAGGUAACACACAGGUAAAGUUCCCUUAAUCAUCAGUCACUGUGGUUUAGACUAAAGAAUACAGUUCUGAUGUGGCAAAAGGUUGUUGAGCUUCACAAAAUGGGAAGUGGCUGUAAGAAAAUAGCCAAAGCAUUGAAAAUACCCAUUUUCACCAUCAGGGCAAAAAUUAACAUGUUCCAAUAUUGAGAAUCAGACUGGAAAAGGACGUGUGUCUAUAUUGUCUCCACGCACAGUGAGGGGGAUGGUUCAAAUUGCCAAAGAAUCUCCAAGGAUCACAGAUAGAGAAUUGCAGAAAUUAGUUGGGUCUUGGGGUCAGAAAGUCUAAAAAAAAAAAAAUAUUACCAGACAUCACCUACUAUCACUACUUGUUGUUUGGGAGGAUUUCAAGAAAAAACCCUCUGCUCUCAUCUAACAACAAACCCAAGCGUCUUCAGUUUGCCAAACGUUACUGGAGCUUCAAAUGCGACCAGGUUCUAUGUUCAGAUGGAACACCAGAGAUGAAGUACCCGAUGCCCAUGGUUCUGGAUCUGAAAUGUGGGGCUGGAUCUUUAAUGUUGUGGGGCUGUUUUUCUGCCAGAGGUCCUGGACAUCUUGUUUGGAUACAUGGUGUUAUGGACUCUAUCAAAUACCAACAGAUAGAAAAUCUAAACCUGACUGCCUCUGCCAGAAAGCUUACAAUGGGCUGUGGUUGGAUCUUCCAGCAGGACAAUGAUCAAUACAAACAUCAAAAUCAACACACAAAUUGUUCAAUGACCACAAAAUCAAGGUUCUUCCAUGACCAUCCCAGUCUCCUGACCUGAACCCCAUAGAAAACCUGUGGGGUGAACUGAAGAAGAGAGACCACCAACAUGGACCUCUGAAUUUGAAGGAUCUGCAGAGAUUCUUUAUGGACGAAUGGUCUCAGAUCCCUCGCCAGGUGUCCUCAUUAGGCAUUAUAAGAGAAGACUCCGAGCUGUUAUCUUGGCAAAGGGUGGUUGCAUAAAGUAUUGAUUAAAGGGUGCCAAUAAUUAUGGACAAUGCAUUUUGAAGAAAAAAAUAUUUUUUUAAUGAGAUUUCCCAUGUUUUAAUUGUUUUACUUCAAUUAAAGGUUAGAUUUGUUUUUAUGAAAGAUCAAAAGGAUAAACUGCAGAUUUUUUUUCACAGCCUUCUUUGCUCAUAUUUACCAAGGGUGCCAAUAUUUUUUGCCACCACUGUACAGUAUAUACUGUAUAUACACUACUGGUCAAAAUUUUUUAAACACUUAAAGUCAUCAAAACUAUGGAAUAACAUAAAUGGAACUAUGGGAAUUAUGUUUUGACUAAACAAAAUCCAAAAUAAAUAAAAACUGUUUUAAAUAUGUUAAAAUAUUUUAGAAUCUUCAAUGUAGUCACCCUUUGCCUAGAAUUUGGCCAACUUCUUGAGGUAUCACCCUGGGAUGCUUUUUAAACUGUAUUGAAGGAGUUCCCAUCUAUGUUGGGCACUUACUGGCUUCUUUUCUUCAAAUUCAUCAAUUUCAAAAACUUUUUCUUUCAAUUACAUUUUAGUUUUAUUAUAAAAUAAAUUAAUAUGAUGGCGCAAUUCUAUUUUUGUCUACAAAACUAAUUUAAAACAUUUAAGCAUACGCCUUAAGAUCAAAAGAUUUUUAAGAUCAUGAGAAACAUUUCAGUCGUGUUUCAAAAGUUUUGACCGGUAGUGUAUAUGGUACAUUUUCAAAAGGGCAAAUGCAUGUUUAAGUUUAGCAAGCUGAAUUUCCCCCCAUUCAUCCAUUAUGCAGGUCUUCAGCUGCACAAUUGAGCAGAGACAAGAAAUGGGUCAGGACUCCUGACAGGCCAAUCUAGCACCCAAACUUUCUGCUUACACAGCUAUGCACUUCUAAUCAGGGCAGUAUGUGGUUUGGCCUUGUCCUGCUAAAAAAAGAAAAGGCAGAGAUGUCCCUGGAAAAGACGGCAUCGGGACGGCACCUUAUGUUGCUCAAAUUUUUUAUAUAUCUUUCUGCAUUAAUGGAGUCCUCACAGGUGUGCAAGUUACACAGUCUGCACAGUGGAUGUUUACACAGUGUGUUUAACCCUCCUAUGGUGGAGAACACGUGAUCAGCUAGAUUAUAUAGUGGCAUAUAUCGAUUCUCCUCACCCAGUACUGUUUAUUUGGCCUGUAUUUUCUGUGAAGCCAUUGCAGAGUCAGUGUUGGAGAGGCAGCAUGACCUUGACUCACGCUUUGAUCAACUUCAACAUUAUGUGGGAAUGUCCACGUCUGAGGUAGUGUCCAUAUUAUCUGAUUUGGUUUCAGCAGUGGUGACUGUAACUGUCCAUGUCUUAUAAGCUAACGGACUUAAACAUCAACAAUCUGCAUAGGCAUAUAGUACUAGUUGGCCUCAAAGCUGCUAAAAAGAUGAUUGCAAUGUGAUGGUAACCCCUCAUUCUCUUUCUGUUAAACGUCAGAUCUUCACAUUUUGGGGUUUUAUCUAGAAUUGUCUACUGCUUGAGUUAAUGGUGCGAAUGAUAAAACCCUCUGUAGUUUGCACACUGUUGCUGAGUCACUGAAAGACUUCAGGUGAUCUCUUUGCGUAAUUUAAAUAAUUUGAGCUCCUGAAGUCUUACGUUUUUCCCUUUUGUGUGUGUGUGUGUGUGUGUGUCAUCGGAGUCAUGUGAGUGCAGUGAUUUUGUACCUCUCUCUUUCCCUUCCUUACUUAUUCUUACUGCGUGUGUUUUGUUGCAUCUGUUUUGUUGUAAAUUUGUAAUGCCUUAUAAUAUUGUUGAUACUUGUUUUUCUACUUAAUAAACAUUUGAUUGCAAAUAAUAAAAAAACUCUCCUAUGGUCUUCUGUCAUUUUUGACAAGAAUCACUUUUGCUGAUUUAUUAAAAGUGGUUUCCCUUAUCUGAGCUGGACAAGACUUGGUGGGUGUUCCUCCACAUGCUAUCAAAACUAUAUAUAUAAAAAAAUGUAUAAACGAAAACAAAGACUUCUUAUUAAAGUCUUAGUGGUCAUGUAAAAACAAAUAAAGCAACACCUUUGGUCUUUGCAGUUAAAAUUGACGACCAUUGAAAAUGAAUAGGAAAGCAUAUUUUUUUUUUAUGUUUUACACAAAUUAAUUAAUCGUUUUUGUUUUGUCAAAUAAAUCAGCCACAAUGCUAAACUCACACUCCGAAAUGAGGGGGUAAGGCAAUAACACACUCACAAUGCAGAACACACUCACACAAACACAGAAAAAAUGUGUGAGAAUAAACCAACCAGGAAGCAGAACACACACACACACACACACACACAGACAGAAUAAAGGUGUGUGUGGACUAUCUCCCAAGAGACAUUAAAGGCACAGCAUGGUGUACAAAAAAAAAGGUCUCCAUAGAACACUGCAGCCGUCUAUUGCUAUUAUUGCAACAACAUUAUUUUCAAGUCAUGUUAUUUAUAUUUUAUUACUUCAAGGAAGAAGAAAUGGUAUCUUUAUCAUCAUCAUCAAUAAAAGUUACACCUUUGCUCUUUCCUGUCAAAAAUGACCGGGAGGACCAAAAGUAGGGCUCAUUUAUGAAUCUCAUCAGAGGGUUAAUAAAGGCAUGAUAACAAUUGCUUUUGUGCUCCAAGUCGCCAAAGAUCGCUCGUGUCGCCACAAGUCGCCAGCUCUCAAUUAAAAAUGAAUGUGAUUACGUCGCUGUUGUUAGACACUUCAUGUGUGAACGGGCCUAAAUUAAGUCUAUUAGUAUUCUUUAUAUAGUGCUUAUUUUUAAUUUCUGCAAGUUUCAUGUGACAGAAUUGGAGAGAAAAGUCAGAGGCAGUUGUUCAGCCUGUCACCCGUCUUCCUUUCUGAAUUGGUCGUAUAAACAGACGUAACAAAAAAACAUGAAUUCAGUUUCCUGUGUGUGAGAGCUUCUUAACAGUGCACAGAUAAAGUUUUCCAGAAUAGUUUGUAAGAAUCUCUGUUGCUUUCUUCUAAUGAUCUUGUUUACCUUUUCUCUUUGAAUUUCACAUUUGUGUCUCUUGUAUUGAUUUUUG